GAUGAACGCUGGCGGUAUGCUUAACACAUGCAAGUCGAACGGAGCUUUUCGGAGCUUAGUGGCGGACGGGUGAGUAACGCGUGAGAAUCUGCCUUUUGGACCGGGACAACUGCGGGAAACGGCAGCUAAGACCGGAUGUGCCUUCGGGUGAAAUAUUCAUAGCCAAAAGAGGAGCUCGCGACCGAUUAGCUAGUUGGUGGGGUAAGAGCCUACCAAGGCUGCGAUCGGUAGCCGGUUUGAGAGGACGACCGGCCACACUGGGACUGAGACACGGCCCAGACUCCUACGGGAGGCAGCAGUGGGGAAUUUUCCGCAAUGGGCGAAAGCCUGACGGAGCAAUACCGCGUGAGGGAGGAAGGCUCUUGGGUCGUAAACCUCUUUUCUCAGGGAAGAAGCAAUGACGGUACCUGAGGAAUCAGCAUCGGCCAACUCCGUGCCAGCAGCCGCGGUAACAC
rnacentral:rRNA from 1 species